CGGGGAAGGACAAAAAGUAUCUCAGGCGAAACACAGUAUACAUUUGCACAACACAUACGGUAUGUUUAUUGUCGGCUUCAGUGGCAGAUACAUGUCUGGGCAUUCAUAUACGUAUUAAUUGUCUUAACAACAUGUGUCUUGGCUGAUGGUGUAACUUUGAUUCGCGAAAAAUGUCUUGUACAUUUUGGGCUCCUGCUUCUACUGUCUAACUCGUAUGCAUGGACUUUGAUCAAAUGAAGCUCAAUUAGCAUACACCUUUAUGUGAAAUUAUAAUGUUUGAUCCGGUCACUAACCAUUUUACCAGAAUCUUCCAGUCUGCAAAGUUGGUUUUGCAUUUCAGUGGAACCAUGCUAUUUGUCACCCACAAGCUACAAAUAAAUCAAGUACAAGGCUUAAUGUUUAAGGAGAAAAUAGGGCUUUCUUGUGUUGGCUACAACUCAUCAAAUAUUAGUUUUGCUACUGUUUUGCAUAAUUGGUUCUUCAUUUUGCUAGUACUCAAUCUGGAAUAAUCUCGCAUAACAUAUCGUCAUGUUUUAAUGGUGAUUAAGCUUUAAACAAUUUUUUUUUUCUGAGGAAG
rnacentral:misc_RNA from 1 species